rfam:Salmo salar isolate Sally breed double haploid chromosome ssa13, whole genome shotgun sequence.
UGCAUUCACUACUGUAAGUCGCUCUGGAUAAGAGCGUCUGCUAAAUGCCAAAAA